rnacentral:rRNA from 1 species
UACGUAGGGACCAAGCGUUGUUCGGAUUUACUGGGCGUAAAGGGCGCGUAGGCGGCGUGGUAAGUCAGCUGUGAAAUCUCCGAGCUUAACUCGGAACGGUCAGCUGAUACUGCUGUGCUAGAGUACAGAAGGGGCAAUCGGAAUUCUUGGUGUAGCGGUGAAAUGCGUAGAUAUAGGAAGGAACACCAGUGGCGAAGGCGACCACCUGGACUGAUACUGACACUGAGGUGCGAAAGCGUGGGGAGCAAACAGG